AAGAAUAAUAACUUUUCUAAUUCAAUUUAAUUAUAAUCUACAUAUUGAUCUAUCAUUAAAUUUAAAUUAACCUAAUUAAAUUACAUUUAAAUAAUUCAUUAACAACUAUACAUAAAAAAUAAAUUAAAUGAAAUUUAAAGUGUAACUUCCACUUAAAGAACAAGAUUCUUUAAUAAUUAAGUACCGCCAAAUAAACUAACUUUAACUUUCCAUUAAUUACUAUAAAAAUUUCAUUAAUUCUUCUAGGGUAUCUAAUCCUAUUACCUCAAAUUAAUUAAAGUUGAAAAUUUAUAAUUAAAUUAAAAUCUAAAAAUUUCACUUAAAUAUUUUAAUUAAAAUUAAACUUAACUUCCAAAAAACAAAUAAAUCUUAAUUUCACCAGCCAUGUAUAACCG
rnacentral:rRNA from 1 species